rnacentral:rRNA from 1 species
CCUACGGGAGGCAGCAGUAGGGAAUCUUGCGCAAUGGGCGAAAGCCUGACGCAGCCAUGCCGCGUGAAUGAUGAAGGUCUUAGGAUUGUAAAAUUCUUUCAGCGGGGAAGAUAAUGACGGUACCCGCAGAGGAAGCUCCGGCUAACUUCGUGCCAGCAGCCGCGGUAAUACGAAGGGGGCUAGCGUUGCUCGGAAUUACUGGGCGUAAAGGGCGCGUAGGCGGGUGUUUAAGUCAGGGGUCAAAUCCCAGAGCUCAACUCUGGAACUGCCUUUGAUACUGGACACCUAGAGUACGGGAGAGGUGUGUGGAACUCCGAGUGUAGAGGUGAAAUUCGUAGAUAUUCGGAAGAACACCAGUGGCGAAGGCGACACACUGGCCCGUUACUGAUGCUGAUGCGCGAAAGCGUAGGGAGCAAACAGGAUUAGAUACCCUGGUAGUCCACGCCGUAAACGAUGAGUGCUAGUUGUCGGCAUGCAUGCAUGUCGGUGACGCAGCUAACGCAUUAAGCACUCCGCCUGGGGAGUACGGUCGCAAGAUUAAAACUCAAAGGAAUUGACGG